rnacentral:rRNA from 1 species
UUAUUAAAAGUGUAAAUUUUUACUUUUAUUAUUAUUAGUUUAGAUCUUUAAAUUAAAAGAAUUUGACGGUAAUUAUAUCAUUUCAGAGGAACCUGUCCUGUAAUUGAUAAUCCACGUUAAAUUUAACCCUGAUUUAUUGUUUGUAUAUCUCUGUCUAUUAGAAUGUCUUAUGAGAGUAUUUUCAUUAUUGUUAUUAUUUAAUUUUAUGUCAGGUCAAGGUGCAGCUAUAUCAGGGGUAGAGAUGGGUUACAUUUAUGUAUUAAUUAUGGAUCUAUAUUUGUAUAAUUAUAUAGUGAAAUUGGAUUUGAAUGUAAUAUUUAUUAUGUUUUAAUUAUGAUAUUUGCUCUUUAUUAAGUACACAUCGCCCGUCGCUCUCAUUAUUUAAGAUGAGAUAAGUCGUAACAAAGUAGGCCUAUCGGAAGGUGGGCCUGGAAUUAUUUCAGAUUAUACCUAGGGUUAUUUGUUAUUUACAUUAAUGAAUUAUUUGUGCAAUUCAAUUUAAUCUGAAAUUUAAUUAUUUAAUUUUUUUGUUAAUAUUUUAAUUUUAAUAGAAUUAACUUUUUUUUAUUAGUAUGAUUUUAUCGAAUAUAUUAUUUUUUAUUUAUAGUUUAUUUUACUGUGGGGGAUAAUUAUUUUAAAUUUUUAUAAGUAGAACUUGUUGUUUGUACCUUUUGUAUCAGGGUUUAUUAAUUUUUACUAUUUAUUAAUAGUUUUCCCGAAAUUACAGGAGAUAUAUUUUUUUGUUAUUUAUUGUUUCAAAAAUAUUAAUAAAAUUGAUAUAGGGGAGAUAUUCUAUUCAACUGUUAAUAUCUGGUUUUUUAAUAAAUGAAUUUAAUUCAGGUUCAAUUAAAAUUAUAAUAUAAUUUGAUUUUUAUUAAUGUAAUUGAUCUAAUAUUAUUGGGGAUUAGCUCUUUAAUAUAUUUAAAGCUUGUUUAUUUAUUUAUAUUAAUUUUUGUAGGAUUAGUAAUUUUCUUCAUUUAUUUUGUUAUAAUUACAUUUAAUUAUUAAUAUUUAUUUUAUGCGUGCUUAAGUUUUUAUUAAGAUUUUUGAAAGAUUUUUUUAUUUGAAGUAAUUAUGAUAGAAUUAGUAAUUUUUAUAAUUUAUACACAGUAACUCGGCAAAUAUGAUUUUUACCUGUUUAUCAAAAACAUGUCCUAUUGAUGAUUUGUUUUAGGUCGGGCCUGCUCAAUGAUUUAUUUUUAAUAGCCGCAGUAUUUUGACUGUGCAAAGGUAGCAUAAUCAUUUGUCUUUUAAUUGAGGGCUUGUAUGAAUGGUUUGAUAAAGAAUCUUCUUUCUUUGUUUAAAAUUAGUGAAUUUAAUUUUUAGGUUAAAAAGCUUAAAUAUUUUUAUGGGACGAGAAGACCCUAUAGAAAUUUACUUUAUUCUUUUUCAUUAAUUUUUAUUUUUUAUGGAUUUUUGUUUAAAGUUAGAGUUUUGUUGGGGUGACAUGAAGAUUAAUAUAACUCUUUAUUUUAAUUUUUUAUUUAUUUAUAUAUUUAUGAUCCUUUAUUAAGGAUUACAAGAUUAAUUUACCUUAGGGAUAACAGCGUAAUUCUUUUGGAGAGUUCAUAUUGAUGGAGGAGU